GAUGAACGCUGGCGGCGUGCCUAACACAUGCAAGUCGAGCGGCCACACAAUGAGCUUUUUCUUCUACCGUUAGCGGCUGACGGGUGAGUAACGCGUACAUAACAUUCUUCUAUUACUGGGAUGACUACGUAAAACCACUGCCACUACCACAUAAUAUAUUCUACCGCUUGAUUCAAUAGAGAUUCACGGUUUUCCCGUUUCAUAUAGCCGGUUUCGCGUCGGAUUAGCUAGUUGGUAAGGUAACGGCUUACCAAGGCGACGAUGCGUAGCUGACCUGAGAGGAUGAUCAGCCACACUGGAACUGAGACACGGUCCAGACUCCUACGGGAGGCAGCAGUAGGGAAUCUUGGGCAAUGGGCGCAAGCCUGACGCAGCAACGCCGCGUGAGUGAAGAAGGUCUUCGGGUCGUAAAACUCUGUUAUUGGGGAAGAAAAGCAGUGUGUGAAACCAUCGACGUUUUGACGGUACCCAAAGAAAAAGCAACGGCUAACUUCGUG
rnacentral:rRNA from 1 species